rnacentral:lncRNA from 1 species
UACGGUUACUGUAUCCAAGUAUGUUCUUGAGCAUUGCUUUGCAUACAUUUGACCUAUCUGGACAUUGGAUACCAUUGCUAUAUAGUUACUCCGAUUGGUAUAGGAAUUUGUUUCUGUACUACUGGCUUAGGUUCGAACCUAUGGAGUCAUAUACAUUAGAAAUUUUUCUCCGAUCGAUGGCUGAUCUGAAGAGUCCCACUAGACUAAGACUCUAUCAUUAAUAGAAGAUUAGUCAGUGAUUAGAUCACUGAUCAACUCAAUUGAUUGAGCAUUAAAGUCUGAAUCAAGUCUAAUUGAAUUGGAUUCAAUUAGGUCAGGUCUGAUUAGGUUAUGAGAUGACCUAAUUGGUAAGGAAGAAUUGAUCCUGAUUUAAUCAGACCUACGGUUCAAUUAAUUCACUGAUUUGAUCAGAUUUAAUUGAGAUUAUGAGAGUCUAAUUAGAUUAGAUUCAUCAUGAAUUAUUUGGGUUUAAUUGAAUUAGAUUUGGAUGAAACCUAAUUGGGAACUUAAUUGGUUAAACCUUAGUGUCCAAUGUGAUUGGACUUUCUCCCUUGCACCUUCCCUUCUCUCCAUGCCUUCUUUCAUCGCANNNN